UUUAUUCCGGCGCUGUUUUCUGUAAAUAUUUACAAAAUUAUUUUAUAAUGACUGAAUUAAUUGAAAAUGUAGAAAAACUUAUUGAAGCAGAUAGUAAUAACUCUAAAGAUGAAGUGAAGGAAGAGUAUGCUUAUUUGGAAAAAGGAGGAUUCUCUUCAGAAAAUUUUAAAAUAAAGAUACAAGGAUUACCCAAAUUUUAUGGAAUAGUCGAACUGAAAAAACUGAUGAAUGAGACCCUUGGCCUCAACGUUAGUAAAAUAAAAAGGCUAAAGCAGUCCAGCAAGUGGUCAUUUGCCUGUUUCCAAAAUGAGGAAGAGAGGAGCAAAGCCAUAGUGGCACUGAAUGGCUAUUUCUGGAAAGG
rnacentral:lncRNA from 1 species